rnacentral:tRNA from 1 species
AGGAUAAUAGUUAAUUAUAACAUUUGGGUUGCAUUCAAAAAGUGUUGAUUAAUUAUUUUCAACUUAUCUUA